AGAAUCAACGCUGGCGGCGUGCCUAACACAUGCAAGUCGAACGCGAAAGGGGCUUCGGCCCUGAGUAGAGUGGCAAACGGGUGAGUAACACGUGGGUGACCUGCCUCAGAGUGGGGGAUAACGUCCCGAAAGGGACGCUAAUACCGCAUAACAUCCUGCCUUUGGAAAGGCGGAGAUCAAAGCCGGGGAUCGCAAGACCUGGCGCUUGGAGAGGGGCCCGCGUCUGAUUAGCUAGUUGGUGGGGUAAUGGCCUACCAAGGCAACGAUC
rnacentral:rRNA from 1 species